UGCCACCAUGCUGGGGUUCAUGUGUGUGAUAUCACACGUGCUGUCAGCUCCAGUCACUGAUGACAGUGCUCUUCUAAUUGUGAUUUAAAGUGCUUUCCUGUCCUGAUGGGGGAAGUUACAGCUUUCUCAGUGCAUAUUGUAUUCUGGGCCAACUGCUGCUGCUGAGGAGGGAGCAUAAUUUGGAAGGGUCUUUGGAGGGCAGGAACUGUGUCUUGCCCUUUCCAACAAAGGAUGAGGCAACUUUAGACCCCUUGCUCUUGGACAUAAAGGGUAUUCUAAUCCUGCAUUCCCAUUUACUGUACUCCACAGGAGAGCGCACGAGACCCUGCUGUGGACUAAGCAUGGUCUGUCUUUUGGUGGGGCAGAGGAGGAGCAGUCUGUUCCCAUGUUUGAAGAGGGGAGUCCAGCCCCUGCUACUCCAGUAUCUCCCUCUUUGCCCAGCUGCCCCUUGAAUGCCUGUGAGCUGGAAGGAAAUGGAAGGGAAAAGAGCUAGUGCUGCUGUGCAGAGGCUGAGAUCGGUGGGAAAUCACAAUUACCUCCCAGAUCUGCAAAACGCCAACUUCCUUAAAAGUGAGCACUUAAUGUAGAAGGAAAUGUGGUGUCUGAUAAUAGAUACUACCCUAAUGAAUAAACAAAUGCUUUAAAAGAUGGA